GCCCGUGCGCUCCGGUCUCCGCGCCCCGUUGGGCUGCGGCCACGGCCCCCAGGUAAUGCCUUGAAGCCUUGGAGCCCAGGAGUGCGCUGAGCCCAUUGAAGCCGCGUGGCACCCGCUUGCGGUUCCCAGGCGCUGCCAGCCUAGGAUGCUCCCGCUUUUAGCGAGGGCAAGCGGAGAGGACCCUGGCAGCAACGAAAGUACCGAGCUGUGAGUCUUUCUAGCCUAGAGGCCGAGGCUCCUCCGGAGCCACAGUGCGGGAGCCUGCCUUCCAUGCGCAGUGACGUCCGGAGCUGUGUGGAGCAAGGCAACCUAGUCUUCUCAAUUCAUGUUGAAUCCGAAACUACAUUUCGUUUUACAGAGUCACCUACUACUUAGUGAUUCAGGGGCAGACUCGCCCGUACAGCAGACACUCAGUUUGGAAGCCAAAUUUUGCGUUUGGAAUGGUGUGGCGCUGCACCCCACAGCUGCAACUGCUGGGUGGGAGCCGCUAGGGGAGCUGAGAAGUCCAAGGGAGAUUCUGCUGCCUCAGGUUUUGUGUGACUUGCUUUUUCUCUUGGAAACUCAUAGAAUCUUCUGCCUCGGGUGUUUCCAUGUUUCCUGAGAGUGUGUCCUAGACGUGACCACACUGGGAUCGUUCGCCCUUUCGCCUCAAAGGUGGAUGUCUUCCAAAAGGCGCCCAGGCACUGGCCCAGCUGCCUCUCUGCGCAGUUCUUGGCAGAGGAAGCGCGGAACUGCGGGACUUGCGGCUGUGGCACCAGGAGCAGAGGGCUGCUUGUUCAUAUCUCAGCGGAUCAGGGAACAGAGAAAGCAGACAAAUCCCAGAGCUUGGCUGGCUCUCCUCAGGACCCGUUUACAGGUGGGUCUUCCCCCGCACUUAGUCCUCUCCAAAAGCUUCAAUCUCCUAGGUGAUGUCCAAACGUAGGCAAACGGACAAUGAGGAUCAGCCAUCAGCCACCCGUCUCAGGUCCGAGGCCAGUUCCACCAUCUUGGUGUGUUUCCUGUGACUGGAGUGGAAAUCCCAAGACUGAGUGACCACGGACUUAGAGGCUCGUUUGGCUUCCGGUUUUGGCAGCUGGGACUCUGAGAACUGGUCCAGCUUCUGGCAAGCGGCCAUGCUGCUCCGACCUCUGGCAGGAGGCAGGGUUUCAGAAAAAUCUAACUGGAGCCAGACUUGGUUGUUCACACCUGUAAGCUCAGCAUUUAGGAGGCUGAAACAGAAAGACUGCAAUGAGACUCUUCCUCAAAAAAAAAUCAAAAAUCAAAG